rnacentral:rRNA from 1 species
UACGAAGGGGGCUAGCGUUGCUCGGAAUCACUGGGCGUAAAGGGCGCGUAGGCGGUAUGGCAAGUGGAAGGUGAAAUCCCUCGGCUUAACCGAGGAACUGCCCUCCAAACUGCUUUACUUGAGGCCGGGAGAGGUGAGUGGAAUUCCCAGUGUAGCGGUGAAAUGCGUAGAGAUCCGGAAGAACACCAGUGGCGAAGGCGGCCCGCUGGGCAGUGGCUGACGCUGAGGCGCGACAGCGUGGGGAGCAAACAGG